rnacentral:lncRNA from 1 species
UAAUUUGCAUUCUAGUAGUGCAAUUGACAACUAAAGUAGUCCCAUUUGCAUCUGAGGCAAUAUUAACAGCUCAACGACAUCGAAAAUAAGCUUUUUACAAAGCAAAAAAAGCUCCCAACCCUAUCCCCCCUCUCUUCUAGGGCCGCCAGAGGGGGAAGUGGUCACCGACCCAUCUCCCCUCCCCUUCUUGCCUCAUUGUUCCUCAUUUCCUCCCUUCCCCCCUUAUCCUCCCUCUUUUUGGUUCUUUUUUCUUUUUUUUUUUGCUUUUUCUCCCUCUUCUCCCCCUUUCUUUCUUCUCUGGUUCCCUCUCCCCCUCUCUCCUUCGUCCCCCCCCUCUCCUUCCUUUUAUGUUCUCUUUUUUAGAUCUCUACCUCACGUUUUUUUUUUGCUUUUGCUUUCCUUUUCUUUUUCUCUCCUCUCCUUAUUGAAUGAAACUCGAUUUAGACCCAAAAAAAAAAAUUUAUAUAAAAAGGAAUUUUUUUUAAAAAGGUAGUCCCAUUUGCAUUUCAGUCUUGCAAUUAUCAUUAUCUUUGCUCAAUUAUGAAAGGUAGUAUUUCUCACUAAUGAUAAAUCCUUCAUAAUUAAUUGUAUGUUCA